rnacentral:rRNA from 1 species
AUUGAACGCUGGCGGCAGGCCUAACACAUGCAAGUCGAGCGGAUGGAGGGAGCUUGCUCCUGGAUUCAGCGGCGGACGGGUGAGUAAUGCCUAGGAAUCUGCCUGGUAGUGGGGGAUAACGUCCGGAAACGGGCGCUAAUACCGCAUACGUCCUGAGGGAGAAGGUGGGGGAUCUUCGGACCUCACGCUAGCAGAGGAGCCUAGGUCGGAUUAGCUAGUUGGUGGGGUAAAGGCCUACCAAGGCGACGAUCCGUAACUGGUCUGAGAGGAUGAUCAGUCACACUGGAACUGAGACACGGACCAGACUCCUACGGGAGGCAGCAGUGGGGAAUAUUGGACAAUGGGCGAAAGCCUGAUCCAGCCAUGCCGAGUGUGUGAAGAAGGUCUUCGGAGUGUAAAGCACUUUAAGUUGGGAGGAAGGGCAGUAAGUUAAUACCUUGCUGUUUUGACGUUACCAACAGAAUAAGCACCGGCUAACUUCGUG